UUUCCCCUUCAAGUGUAUCAGUGAGUCAUCGGCAGGCUGCGUGCUUAGCCCGGUAAAGGAAACCACUUUCCUCUAGUCUCCAAGAUCACCAGCCUCUGCUCUCACCAGCUUCCCGGGCUUUCGCUCUGAGGUUUUUCAGCCAGAACACCCAUUUAGAACUACCUGAAUCUGGAGGAUUGCUGUGAGUUCGAGACCAGCCUGGGCUACAUAGUGAGUUCCAGCUGCCAUGGGAUGAGCAGUUUUUCCUCUGCUGUAUCCUUCCACUAUGUGUUUCUGCCUUACUGCCGGGUAAGUUUGAUCUGAAUCCACUAGAAACUACGAGUCAAAUAAACCUGUUUUCC